rnacentral:lncRNA from 1 species
UCGUAAUGGAAAGACACAAACUAGUAGAGAAAAGAGCUCAAAAGAUCGAAAGGUAAAAAAAUAAAUUAUUUCAACAACAAUCGUGGAUGUCGUAAUGGAAAGACACAAACUAGUAAAGAAAAGAACCCAAAAGAUCGAAAGGUAAAAAAAAAAAAAACAUUAAUUCAACAACAAUCGUAAAUUCCUCGCCUAAUAAUCGAACCUAGCUUAUAAUUGUCUCGAUCAAUUGCGAUGACGUAAUAUUAUCUUUCUGGACGAAGGGUAACUCGUCUUCUUCGACUUGGAAUUUUUCCUCAUGACUUGCUCAUGCAACUUUUCAGCAACCUCGUACAUCUCUUCUCUCUCUUCGUUUUCUCUCUCCUCUUGAUCAUCUUCUUUGAUCACCGCGGCCGCUUCGUCGGAAGUUUUCUCCUCCUUGUUCGAUUCUUUUUCGGGCACACCUUGGUGGUAGAAAAUAUCAACUUCUGCCUGAGAAAUUUGGUGAAGUACUCCGUACAUUCUUAAACCAAGUGCUUCCGCUAAUGCCAUGGAAUACGGAGAUGGAAUAUCGGGAGCUGUACGUUUAGCCAUUCUCUCUCUCUCUCUCUCUCUCUCUCUCUCUCUCUAAUCAGGUUUUUCUGAACUUGUAUAUAUAUAUAUAUAUGGGGUAUUUGCACUCGGCUCCCCUGUGAAAUGUCUAAUUGGCAAAAAAACCCCUCGGAUAAAAAAAUUAACAAAUAACCCCCUAUGAAAGGAAGUCAAUGUCAAUAAGGACCCUCCGAGCGAAUCGUGUGCUGCACUCGCCGAAUAUGCGACUCGGGUUCGAUUUUUUGACGUGAAAAGACCCAACUGCCCUUUAAAUUAUUAAUUUCAAAAAUAAGCCCCAAAUAAAGUUUUCAAUUUUUUCAAUUCAGUCCCUUGAAUUUUCAGAAAGGCCCUCUUCUUCCUUAAGUCAGGGACUGAUUUGCAAUUUUCCAAAAAUAGAAAGAAAAAAGAAAUUAAAAAGAAACACUCGUCCACCCACCCCCAACAGCCACCACCAACCAAUCCUGCUCCUCCAGAAUCCACCAUCUCCGCCGCCUCUGCCUUAUGCUCCGCAACGUUUGAUUCGGUUCCUCUCCAACCCACAUCAACUUCCACCAUCUCUCUCCGUGACCAAGAAUUGAAGUCUGGAGAUGGACAUUAGAGACAAUACCCCCGUCACCGGCGACUGCAAAUCCAAUCUCCAAUCCUCCAAAUCUCCAAUCUACUCAAAUCGGCAGUCUAUUGUCGGCACCAUCUUCGCCCCACCCAAUGCUACACCUCUUCCGCUCGUACAAGGCGGCGGCUGCUGCUCCAGCGGCGGCGGCAACCCGGAUUCUUGAAAACCGAAGCCCUGAUGCGAUUCUUGCCGAUACCUUUACAGUGGGGUUUGAUGGUUAGGGUUUUGCUGAGCUGGUUCCCCAAUAUUCCUUGGGACGGCGGCGGUGCGGAGGGCUGGGGCUUGGGGAAACCCCCCUUUUUUCUUUUCUCCAAUCCCUGUUAGAAUUGAUGAAAUGAAAUUAGCGAGAAGAUAAUUGAUAUUUUUUUAAAGAUUUUGGUUGGCACGGG